AUCGUUUAAAAAGAGAAUUGUGUAAUUACGUUUGUAUCUUCACCUAAUCAAGUUGAAGACAUUUUUACUAAAACUCUUUCUAAUAAAAUUUUCUUUUUCAUAAUAACUUAAUUAGGAAUAUUAAAUCAGUCAUGCAUUGAUUAAACAACUCUAUGUGCUUCUUAUUCUUCUAAAUGUGUUUUAUAUGCUAGUUAUGUGACUUCAUGUUUCCCCUCAUUUUUGUUAUGUCAAAGGGGAGAAGUGUGCUCUCAAGAGGAGUAUACUAUUUUUAUUGGUUAUGGGGAGUUAACAUUCCAAACUUUAUUUUCUUAUUAACCCCUUUUCUAAGCGAUUUCCUUGAGAGAUGCAUUAUUAUCAUCAACAAGGGGACUCACAUUCAUUUGAAAACACACAAGGGUUCUCAAUAUUACUUCAUCUCUAAUUUCACGCUUUCUCUUAUAAUUUUUACACUCAGUUAAAAUAUGAUUUUAGAGCUAAGAGAUAAAAUAUUUAGUAGUGUUUAUCUUCUGUAACUGUUGAUUUACUCUUCAAAUUUGUAACUGUAAAACAAGAGAUGGUUAUUCUCUUAAACUCUAAUAUAUUAUAAAGGUUUCAAAUUGCACAUGAGAUAAAAGUUUGUUGUAAGAUAUUUGUAGGUUGAUCUUGUAUUAAAAGCUCUAUGAUGGUGAAAAUUUAAAUGUGAUAUCCUUGAUGUCUAGACUUAAUUGUCGUGGCUUUGGGUCAAACUACGAUAAAGCCAUAUGUGUUCUUCUUUAAUCACUCAACUCUUUAUUUUUAUGUUCUUAUUUAGUUGUCAAUUUGUUCUUAAAUUUAAUCUAAAAACCAAUUUCAAUUUCAAAUCUUUAAAAACCUUUUAUAUCACAAAUUACUUCUUUUGUAUUUGAAAUCACUUGGAUACCAUAAACAUCCUUAUAUGUUGAUUUAAAUGGUGUUAUCCUAGUGAUGAAUCAUUCCUAUAAUAGAUGAUGAACACAUCUUUGGCUCAAGAAUGACUCACUACCCAAUAUUAGAGAACUUACCAAUGGAAUCAUUGUCCUAUGGAAGCUUUAAGUCGAAACUCUUACACAUCAUUAGAUCGUUUAGCUUUAAUAUUUCUCAUAUAUAUUGUAAAGAUAAC
rnacentral:lncRNA from 1 species